rnacentral:rRNA from 1 species
UACGAAGGUGGCAAGCGUUGUUCGGAUUUACUGGGCGUACAGGGAGCGUAGGCGGUUGGAUGAAGCCCUCCGUGAAAUCCUCCAGGCUUAACCUGGAAGUGCAGAGGGGACUGUUCAGCUAGAGGAUGGGAGAGGAGCGCGGAAUUCCCGGUGUAGCGGUGAAAUGCGUAGAGAGUCCGGGAGAAGGCCGGUGGCGAAGGCGGCGCUCUGGAACAUUUCUGACGCUGAGGCUCGAAAGCGUGGGGGAGCAAACAGG